CAAAUGCAAAAGUCGCAUCAGCAAGAAACCUGUUAAAAGUUUGUUUGGACUAAACUACCAUAGAUACAAAACCAACUCACUCACAGUGGUUUCUUGUAUAUACAACACUGACAUUAUUUCAUUACUUCACCUUUUUUCAUUUUUGUAAAACUUUGAGCAUAUGUAAUAUGAACAUCCACUCAUGUAACAGUGGCAAAAAACAGGAAAAGCAUAAUGGGUAAGAGACUACUCACUGACAUAAGAGGUCAGUAAUUCAGGGAGCUGUAAAGGAAGAGACUUGUGUUGCAAAUAUUUUGCACCAGACCAUGUUUAAACUGCUCAUCAUCAGCAGAUAGAUAAGAGAGGACUUUGACAUAGAGCAGAGCAUUAAUCAAAAUCCAGUCUAAAUGUUACUAUAACCCAUUUUUAAAUUAGUUUUCCAUUAUUUUGUAACCUGAAUUUCCUUGACCCACCAGAGGGGUUCAAGCCAGCACCAAAGGGAAACCCACCUUCCCCUUGUAUUAUUAAAAUCUAUUAGAAAGUGUAAGGAUUUUAUUUUUAAAGGCAUAAUAUCAUUUUUUUAUGAAAUUGCCAGGAUAAAAGAUACAGAUCCGUCAAAUAAGAUCAUGGUCUUUACUGUAGAUGUGCACUUGUGCAGAGCAGAUAGAUGACCAUUUGAUUAGCUUAUGAAAUCAUAAGUAGCACUGUUCAACCUGAGAAGCAUAACUUACCUAAUCAAAACGUUUUUGUUUUUUUUGUUUUUUUAAAGUAAUCCUAACUGAACUGCACAUUUUUUAACAUAUUCCGAGUUGAUUUUGAAAUUCUUCACCAUCCAAGACCUGGUCAGAAGCAAAGAGACCAAAGAUGUAGCACCAGGAAAGCUCACCAAACCAACCCUUGAGAGCGCAUAGAUGACCACUUGCUUGGAUUAUGCAACCGUAAGUGGCACUGUGGCUGUGCCUGCUGCCUGCAGGCCAAACACAGCCUCGCUGGAUGAAGAUCACUCUCAGUUAGACUGGGAAAACACAUGGAAAGCUACUCUGUGUCAUUAAAAGAAGUCUACGAGAGAGGCACAGAACCUGCCACGCAA